rnacentral:rRNA from 1 species
GGCGAACGGGUGAGUAACACAUGAGCAAUCUGCCCUUGACUCUGGUAUAACUGCGGGAAACUGUAGCUAAUACCGGAUACAACACCUUGCGGCAUCCCGGGGUGUGGAAAGAAUUUUGGUCAAGGAUGAGCUCGCCUCCUAUCCUCUAGUUGGGGAGGUAAAGGCUCACCAAGGCGACGACGGGAAGCCGGCCUGAGAGGGUGACCGGACACACUGGAACUGAGAUACGGUCCAGACUCCUACGGGAGGCAGCAGUGGGGAAUAUUGAUCUUGGGGCGAAAGCCUGACGCAGAAACGCCGCGUGCGGGAUGAAGGCCUUCGGGUUGUAAACCGCUUUCACUUUGGAAGAAACGAAAGUGACGGUACCUGCAGAAAAAGCACCGGCUAACUACCUGCCCGCAGCCCCGGUAAUACCUAAGGUGCAAGCGUUGUCCGGAUUUAUUGGGCGUAAAGAGCUCGUAAGCGGUUAGUCACGUCGGAUGUGAAAACUCAUGGCUUAACACUGAACCUGCAUUCGAUACGGGCUGACUAGAGUAUUGUAGGGGAGACUGGAACUCCUGGUGUAGCGGUGAAAUGCGCAGAUAUCAGGAAGAAACCGGUGGCGAAGGCGGCUCUCUGGGCAAUUACUGACGCUGAAGAGCGAAAGCGUGGGGAGCAAACAGGAUUAGAUACCCUGGUAGUCCACGCCGUAAACCGAGGGCGCUAAGUGUGGGGAACAUUACACACUCUCUGCGCCGCAUCUAACACAUUAUGCGCGCCGCCUGUGGAGUACACCGCACGGCUAUAACUCUCAGGAAUUGACAGGGGCCCGCACAAG